rnacentral:lncRNA from 1 species
UUUUUGUGUUAGGAUUCAAUGUACAAUACAAUGGACAGCAAUAUUGCAAUACAAUAACAACAAAUUUGUGUUCGCAUACAUUUAGGGUGCUAGAAUGUCCUCCUUUUAUUCAAAAUAUUGAUGCGUAUCAAAAUUACAGUGUUUUGAUACCUCAUGCUGACUUGUACAACAAAAUAUUUUGACCGCUUCCACCAAAACUGACCAUAUGUGCACUUAAAUUUGUAAAUCUAUAUACCAUCUAUACCC